rnacentral:ncRNA from 1 species
CCAUCGCUUUUUAGAUGGGAACAAAAAAUAAAAUGGGUUUAUACUGUCAAAUUACGGGGAAGUCCUAAAGGCCAUGCUACCAAGCUGUUUUUGAAAAUUAACAAGUGGCUGAAGUAAUUACUCAGGUAUGGUAACAAGGCAUGGUAUGAACGAAAGUAAAAUGGGUAAUCGCGUAUCUAAAUCAGUUGAGGCUGUAAAAGAGCAACGAGUAGACGGCAGUAGUCAUGUAUUAUUAACAUGAUUAAGGUAUACUCUAAUGGUCCGAGAAAUCGGAUA